rnacentral:rRNA from 1 species
GACUUUAUAAACUUGUACUCUAAUUAAUGUCAAGCUAAGAUUAAAUUUAUAUACUUUUGGUUUUAGGGUGAAAUUAGAAAUAAUUGUUAUUAUAAUCUUUGUUUUUAAAAUUUGAUGAACAAGUCAGAUUAGUACCUGAUUAGACAAAAAUUAAAAGAGCAGGAGUAAAGUUAUAUUUAAACUGUAAGAAUAUUGGCAGGUUUUUAAAUUAUCUUUGGAGGUUGAGUAGUAAUUGAGAGCCCUCAUUAACAACUUUUAUUAUUGGCGCAUGUAUGAUCGUUUAUUUUAUUCUUAGGGAUUGUAAUAUUAGUUUAAUUACUGUAAAAAUAGAUAGAUAUUUGGUUAAUAUAGAAGAUUCAAUUUGACCUACAAUAAAUAAAUUUUUGGAUUAAGGGCGUAGUGUCUUUAUGAAAAUGUAAAAGACAGUAAAUUUCUUUUUAUGGGAAGUUGAAGUUUAUUUAAAAAC